AGUGAACGCUGGCGGUAGGCCUAACACAUGCAAGUCGAACGUCAGCACAGUAAGAGCUUGCUCUUACGGGUGGCGAGUGGCGAACGGGUGAGGAAUACAUCGGAAUCUACUUUUUCGUGGGGGAUAACGUAGGGAAACUUACGCUAAUACCGCAUACGACCUACGGGUGAAAGCAGGGGAUCUUCGGACCUUGCGCGAUUGAAUGAGCCGAUGUCGGAUUAGCUAGUUGGCGGGGUAAAGGCCCACCAAGGCGACGAUCCGUAGCUGGUCUGAGAGGAUGAUCAGCCACACUGGAACUGAGACACGGUCCAGACUCCUACGGGAGGCAGCAGUGGGGAAUAUUGGACAAUGGGCGCAAGCCUGAUCCAGCCAUACCGCGUGGGUGAAGAAGGCCUUCGGGUUGUAAAGCCCUUUUGUUGGGAAAGAAAAGCAGCAGGUUAAUACCCCGCUGUUCUGACGGUACCCAAAGAAUAAGCACCGGCUAACUUCGUG
rnacentral:rRNA from 1 species